rnacentral:rRNA from 1 species
AUUGAACGCUGGCGGCAUGCCUUACACAUGCAAGUCGAACGGCAGCACGGGGGCAACCCUGGUGGCGAGUGGCGAACGGGUGAGUAAUACAUCGGAACGUGUCCUGGAGUGGGGGAUAGCCCGGCGAAAGCCGGAUUAAUACCGCAUACGAUCUAGGGAUGAAAGCGGGGGACCGAAAGGCCUCGCGCUCAAGGGGCGGCCGAUGGCAGAUUAGCUAGUUGGUGGGGUAAAGGCCUACCAAGGCGACGAUCUGUAGCUGGUCUGAGAGGACGACCAGCCACACUGGGACUGAGACACGGCCCAGACUCCUACGGGAGGCAGCAGUGGGGAAUUUUGGACAAUGGGGGCAACCCUGAUCCAGCAAUGCCGCGUGUGUGAAGAAGGCCUUCGGGUUGUAAAGCACUUUUGUCCGGAAAGAAAACCUCCGUCCUAAUACGGUGGGGGGAUGACGGUACCGGAAGAAUAAGCACCGGCUAACUACGUGC